GAACGCUGGCGGCAUGCUUUACACAUGCAAGUCGAACGGUAACAGGUCUUCGGAUGCUGACGAGUGGCGAACGGGUGAGUAAUGCAUCGGAACGUGCCCAGUCGUGGGGGAUAACGCAGCCGAAAGCUGUGCUAAUACCGCAUACGAUCUAUGGAUGAAANCGGGGGAUCGCAAGACCUCGCGCGAUUGGAGCGGCCGAUGUCAGAUUAGCUAGUUGGUGGGUAAAGGCCCACCAAGGCGACGAUCUGUAGCUGGUCUGAGAGGACGACCAGCCACACUGGGACUGAGACACGGCCCAGACUCCUACGGGAGGCAGCAGUGGGGAAUUUUGGACAAUGGGCGCAAGCCUGAUCCAGCAAUGCCCGCGUGCAGGAAGAAGGCCUUCGGGUUGUAAACUGCUUUUGUACGGAACGAAAAGGUCUGGGCUAAUACCCCGGGCUAAUGACGGUACCGUAAGAAUAAGCACCGGCUAACUACGUG
rnacentral:rRNA from 1 species